rnacentral:rRNA from 1 species
AACAGGUUUCAACCUAAUACGUUGGAGCACUGACGGUACCGGUUGAGGAAGCCACGGCUAACUCUGUGCCAGCAGCCGCGGUAAUACAGAGGUGGCAAGCGUUGUUCGGAAUUACUGGGCGUAAAGGGCGCGUAGGCGGCCUUCUGAGUCAGACGUGAAAUCCCCAGGCUUAACUUGGGAACUGCGUCUGAUACUGGGAGGCUUGAGUGCGGGAGAGGGAUGUGGAAUUCCAGGUGUAGCGGUGAAAUGCGUAGAUAUCUGGAGGAACACCGGUGGCGAAGGCGGCAUCCUGGACCGACACUGACGCUGAGGCGCGAAAGCCAGGGGAGCAAACGGGAUUAGAUACCCCGGUAGUCCUGGCCCUAAACGAUGAGUGCUUGGUGUGGCGGGUAUCGAUCCCUGCCGUGCCGAAGCUAACGCAUUAAGCACUCCGCCUGGGGAGUACGGUCGCAAGGCUG